CUACCAUACAGAGAAGAUUAGCAUGGCCCUGUGCAAGGAUAACAUGCAAAUUCAUGAAGUGUUCCAUAUUUUA
ensembl:snRNA U6 U6 spliceosomal RNA